AAUCAAGGAAUAAAAAUGUCAAUUAUAGGCGUUAUGUAGUAAAAAUUAUAUGAUGAAACGGGCCGAGGAAAGCAUUGCCCAUCAGCAGAGCGUAAGCUCAUAAAAAAUUGGCAAAAUAACGGUUAUACCUAAAGGGAAAUUGCAAAAAGUAUAUGAGAUACCAAAAAUUUGUGUUUACUGCUUUGAAACCGCCAAAAGAAUGUGGAUUGUGGGGACGUUCACGAAAAACGAUGUCUUAGGAUUACAAUUACUUAGAGAUUUUAUCAAGACGCGAGCCUUUCAAGUCCUCUGUAGGAAGGAUUUUCUUCGGAAGGUUGGUCCAGAAAGUCCCAAUGUUGACAAAAAGACAGCAUCAGAUAGAUUUUGCUUCAGCACAUAUCAAUGGGACCGUUGAAAGAAGUGUAAAAAAGUGGCGUAAUAUUCUUUUGUCCGACGAAUCCAAAAUAAAUAUGGUAGAAAACGAUGGAAAAGUUUGAGUUCGACGUCCGAAUAAUGCUAAAAUAAAUCCUUGAUACACGAUAAAAACUUUCAAAUACGGAGAUCAUGAUAUGGGGAUGUUUCUGAUGGUACGAAGUCGGACCGCUGUUUUGGAUUCGGGUAAUCAGAGACCGUUAUUACGUUAUUACCUUUUAGAAGAUGUAAUGCUUAAUCAUGCUGAAUGGAACAUGCCUUUAGUUCGGCAGUUUCAGCAUGACAAUGAACCGAAGCAUACCUCGGGUGUGGACUAGACUUGGCUACAGGAUCAAUAAUUGAAUGCACUUUGAUGAUCCGCGAUUCACUUUGAGUUUCCCUUGAUGUCGUAAUUGAUCGCCAUGAAAACUUUCGAAUGAAGGUGUCUGGAAAGUCACGGAUUCUGAAAGCAGCGUUUCGAGAAAAACGCUUUUAGAGUUUUCGGAGCAGAUUACACUCAGUUAAAAAAUUCUUACAAACAAGCUCAUAUCUCCGAGACUAUUUGCCAUAUCGGCUUCAAGUAAUCGAAAAAUAUUCGCAAAUAUACACACAUAUGUAACUACAAUAUACAUAUGUACAUAUAUUAUAUUUAAAUUCAAUUUUUGGAAAUACACAAGUGAAUAUAUCUCC